CCCUUAGAUGUCCUGGGCCGCACGCGCGCUACACUGACAUGUUCAACAAGUUUCUCCUAGUUCGACAGGACUGGGAAAUCUUUGAACGCAUGUCGUGAUAGGGAUAGAUCAUUGCAAUUAUUGAUCUUGAACGAGGAAUUCCUAGUAAACGCGAGUCAUCAGCUCGCAUUGAUUACGUCCCUGCCCUUUGUACACACCGCCCGUCGCACCAACCGAUUGAAUGUUUCGGUGAAGAUUCCGGAUAGGACUGAUUUGAUUUAUUUCAUUUCUGACCUAAAAGCUAUCUAAACCUCAACAUUUAGAGGAAGGUGAAGUCGUAACA
rnacentral:rRNA from 1 species